rnacentral:rRNA from 1 species
AAUCUUGCGCAAUGGGCGAAAGCCUGACGCAGCCAUGCCGCGUGAAUGAUGAAGGCCCNCGGGUUNUNAAGCACUUUUGCCAGGGNCGAAAAGGCGCCGGAUAAUACCUGGCGCCGCUGACGUUACCUGCAGAAUAAUCACCGGCUAACUACGUUCCAGCAGCCGCGGUAAUACGUACGGUGCAAGCGUUAAUCGGACUUACUGGGCGUAAAGAGUGCGCAGGCGGUUCGGAAAGAAAGAUGUGAAAUCACAGGGCUUAAAAUUGGAACUGCAUUUUUAACUGCCGGGCUAGAGUAUGUCAGAGGGGGGGAGAAUUCAACGUGUAGCAGUGAAAUGCGUAGAGAUGUGGAGGAAAACCGAUGGCGAAGGCAGCCCCCUGGGAUAAUACUGACGCUCAUACACGAAAGCGUGGGGAGCAAAC